UACGUAGGUGGCAAGCGUUGUCCGGAUUUACUGGGCGUAAAGAGCGCGCAGGCGGUCUUUUUAAGUCGAAUGUGAAAGCCCCCGGCUCAACUGGGGAGGGUCAUUCGAUACUGAUCGACUUGAAGGCAGGAGAGGGAAGUGGAAUUCCCGGUGUAGUGGUGAAAUGCGUAGAUAUCGGGAGGAACACCAGUGGCGAAGGCGACUACCUGGCCUGUUCUUGACGCUGAGGCGCGAAAGCUAGGGGAGCAAACGGG
rnacentral:rRNA from 1 species